AUUGAACGCUGGCGGCAUGCUUUACACAUGCCAGUCGAACGGCAGCGCGGGCUUCGGCCUGGCGGCGAGUGGCGAACGGGUGAGUAAUACAUCGGAACGUGCCCAGUAGUGGGGGAUAGCUCGGCGAAAGCCGGAUUAAUACCGCAUACGACCUGAGGGUGAAAGCGGGGGAUCUUCGGACCUCGCGCUAUUGGAGCGGCCGAUGGCAGAUUAGCUAGUUGGUGGGGUAAAGGCCUACCAAGGCGACGAUCUGUAGCUGGUCUGAGAGGACGACCAGCCACACUAGGACUGAGACACGGCCCAGACUCCUACGGGAGGCAGCAGUGGGGAAUUUUGGACAAUGGGCGAAAGCCUGAUCCAGCAAUGCCGCGUGUGUGAUGAAGGCCUUCGGGUUGUAAAGCACUUUUGGCGGGAACGAAAAGGACUGUGCCAAUACCACGGUUCGAUGACGGUACCCGCAGAAUAAGCACCGGCUAACUACGUG
rnacentral:rRNA from 1 species